CAGAAAUUGUUUGCAUUCUCCUAAUAUUCAUGGUUUAAAAU
rnacentral:sRNA from 1 species